UGUUAGUUUGCUGUAGAACUUGUUACUCCUU
rnacentral:piRNA from 1 species